CGUCAUUACACAGAAGGUGUGUUGAAUUUAACGGUUACUCCUCUACUUCUUUGAUGCUGCAACACUUUUAGUUUUCCGAGUUUGCUGUUUUAAGGAAAACGUUUUGUUCACUUUGUCUUUAAAAAUGUACGUUGUUGACAUCUUGUACAGACCAAGUCUCGAAUUCCCCCAUAGUCUCGCGGGAUUUCGAUGAAGCAGGUAAGCAGCGGGAAGAAACGUAAGAUGGCAGCACAGUCUUACCUGCGAGAGGAAAAUCAGGGACGUUCCCAGAAAGUUUUCUCUUCGGUUACAGGCACAAAUAGCCUCGAACCGACGGCACAUUGCGGAUCGAUCUAUUUUAUGUCACCGGAUCGUCUAAAAUACAAGAACUGGCAGUGGUAACAGGAACAAAGAAAAGAGCUCUACACACAGGAACUUCUUCUUCAUCAGAAAAGUCACAGUACGACCUGCUCUGUCUGAUUGACAGGUGAUCCUGGGUUGGCCUGAACAGAGCCGCUGCAGCAGUGAGAGGUUUUCCUGGAGCAGCGAGGAGACGUGCCUGUGUGUGUGUGUGUGUGUG